rnacentral:misc_RNA from 1 species
GGAGUAAAAGUCGUAACAAGGUUUCCGUAGGUGAACCUGCGGAAGGAUCAUUAAAGAGUAAGGGUCUUCGGGCCCGAUCUCCAACCCUUUGUUUAACUACCAUGUUGCUUUGGCGGGCCCGUCUCACGACCGCCGGAAGUUUGGCUUCGACCAAACUUCUGGCCCGUGCCCGUCAGUGGCCCCUUCAAAUUCUUGAUCAAGUAUGAUGUCUUAGUUAAAAACUUAAUAGUUAAAACUUUCAACAACGGAUCUCUUGGUUCUG